rnacentral:rRNA from 1 species
UACGUAGGGGGCAAGCGUUGUCCGGAAUUAUUGGGCGUAAAGCGCGCGCAGGCGGUUCUUUAAGUCUGGUGUUUAAACCUGGGGCUCAACUUCAGGUCGCACUGGAAACUGGGGGACUUGAGUACAGAAGAGGAGAGUGGAAUUCCACGUGUAGCGGUGAAAUGCGUAGAUAUGUGGAGGAACACCAGUGGCGAAGGCGGGUCUCUGGGCCGGUACCGACGCUGAGGAGCGAAAGCGUGGGGAGCGAACAGG